rnacentral:rRNA from 1 species
GAUGAACGCUGGCGGCGUGCCUAAUACAUGCAAGUCGAGCGAACAGACGAGGAUCUUGCUCCUCUGACGUUAGCGGCGGACGGGUGAGUAACACGUGGAUAACCUACCUAUAAGACUGGGAUAACUUCGGGAAACCGGAGCUAAUACCGGAUAAUAUAUUGAACCGCAUGGUCCAAUAGUGAAAGACGGUUUUGCUGUCACUUAUAGAUGGAUCCGCGGCGCAUUAGCUAGUUGGUAAGGUAACGGCUUACCAAGGCAACGAUGCGUAGCCGACCUGAGAGGGUGAUCGGCCACACUGGAACUGAACCACGGUCCAGACUCCUACGGGAGGCAGCAGUAGGGAAUCUUCCGCAAUGGGCGAAAGCCUGACGGAGCAACGCCGCGUGAGUGAUGAAGGUCUUCGGAUCGUAAAACUCUGUUAUUAGGGAAGAACAAAUGUGUAAGUAACUAUGCACGUCUUGACGGUACCUAAUCAGAAAGCCACGGCUAACUACGUG